UUGCUCCCAUCUCCCAAACUAAUUAGAAUGUGGCAUUCGACAGUUGAUUUACCAGUUUCCAAUUGAUGUUACAUUUGCUCAUGGAGCACAAGUUGACCAGCUAAGAACUGUAUACAAGAACAAAGCAGCAAUUACUAACAAGAUGCUGCAAUUUUAAAACAGAGAAUUGUAUAGUACAGUCUUCAGCUUUCAGAAAAAUACAACAUUUUACUUGUAUAUGGCAAAGAAAAAUAAACUGGUACUGCUGAUGUCAACAUUGCACCAUGGUAGAGAAAUUGUCAGAAAGACGUUGACAAAACUGAAGCCUGAGGUAGUGACUUUUACAACUCAUAGGUGGAGUAGUUAUUGUUGAUGAGUUACACAGCGACUGUGAUGUCAUUUGAAACACGAAACAUUGGCCAGUGGUUGUGUUUUACUCAAUCCUAAACAUGUGACGUAAAUAAUUUGAUAGUUCAUAAAGAAAAUACCAAGAGCAAAAUACCACAGAGCAAUUUUCUUAGAGGAUUGGGACUGGAAUUCUUUUUUUUUUGUAUCGGGAAUCAAACUGAGGACUUUGCACUUGCCAGGCAGGCGCUUAUGCCACUGAACUAUAUCCCCAGCCCAGGACUGGAAUUCUUAAGAGGUCAUUUAAAACAGAGGAAGAACAAAAUAUUUCUGCACAGUGGAUUUACCCACGUGGAAAGUAACAGCACAAACAUUGUUGGCGUGGAAGCCAGGAGCAAUGGAACAAGCAUUCUGAGGUCCUAUUGCUUCAAAAUUCACCAUGGCUGAAAGAUUACCCCAGUUGGAGAUACUCUUACUUUGGUAGAGCUUACAUAUAUACAAAGACUAAUUGACUGUGUUGUCAGCAUUGGGAAAGGAAUGAAUAAUGCUCAGAUGGCCACUCUGUACCGUGCAUACCGUACUCUGUGACUAUUAAACCCUCAUAACAAGCCAAUGAUGGAGAUACUGUUAUCUGUUCUUAAAGCAAGAAAGUAAAAUUUAAAAGAGGAAUUAGUUUUUAUUAGCCUCCGUUUCAACUGCUAAGCAACCUGCCAAAGAUUUUUCAGAUCAUAGGUGGCAGACAAGAUGAAUAUAAGUCUGAGGGGACUAGAAAGCCCAUGCUUCAUGUAGUAAAAUUAUAAAUUUUUUUGUUAUGGUUUAUGUUUAGGUGUUUCCCAAAAGCUCCAUGUUUUCAUAGUUGGGGCUUUUAAAGGGUGAUUGAAUCAUGGGGGUUCUGUAUCUACAUGUGAUGUUAGGAGGGGGCCUGGUCCGAAGAGACAGGUCACUGGGGGCAUGACGUGGCAGAGGUAUGUGCCGCCCAGGUUCCUUCCUUUGCCCUCUGCUUCUGGGUUGCCAUGAGGUAAGUAGCUUUUCCUCUGCUGUGUCCCUCUGCCAUUUCAUUCUGUCCUGGGGCCAGCUGACCGUGGACUAUAACCUUGAGCCAAAAUAAAAUUUCCUUCUUUAAGUUGCAUUGGUCAGGUAUUUUGUCUCAGUGACAAAGAAAGUGAUUAAGACAUUUUGUUAUUCAAAUAUGCAAUUAAGCAAAGAACAUUUUUUUUUCAUUCUGUUAUGUGCCAUAGACACAUCACAUAAUUCUUGCUGUCUCAUAGGUGAAUUGUAUGUUGCCAUGUUGCAUAACUCCAUAGCUGCCAUCUUUUAUUUUGUAUCCUUGGUGUCCCCUCUAAUAGGUCACUUCUGAAAGGCCUGGCUGGGUCAAGGAAUAUAUCACUCACAGUUCUUAAUUGUGAGCAAUAAGCAUUGACAUUGAUUAGAACGGAAAAGGGGAUUUAUUGGAAUGGAAGAUUGGCAUUACUUAAUACUCUUCUGGAUUUGGCAAGAAGUAGCAAGCCAUAGUGAAGUUAUAGGUAAAUGAAAUCUGUAAUGAAGAAUAUUAUAUAAUUUGUAGAAAAUUGUGUUAUGUCAUUUAUUGUAGUAAAAAUAAUAUGUUGAUAAUGACAACCCCUCCCCUCCAAUAGAAUUAGUAGGU
ensembl:lincRNA